rnacentral:rRNA from 1 species
GAUGAACGCUGGCGGCGUGCCUAAUACAUGCAAGUCGAGCGAACAGACGAGGAGCUUGCUCCUCUGACGUUAGCGGCGGACGGGUGAGUAACACGUGGAUAACCUACCUAUAAGACUGGGAUAACUUCGGGAAACCGGAGCUAAUACCGGAUAAUAUAUUGAACCGCAUGGUUCAAUAGUGAAAGACGGUUUUGCUGUCACUUAUAGAUGGAUCCGCGCCGCAUUAGCUAGUUGGUAAGGUAACGGCUUACCAAGGCGACGAUACGUAGCCGACCUGAGAGGGUGAUCGGCCACACUGGAACUGAGACACGGUCCAGACUCCUACGGGAGGCAGCAGUAGGGAAUCUUCCGCAAUGGGCGAAAGCCUGACGGAGCAACGCCGCGUGAGUGAUGAAGGUCUUCGGAUCGUAAAACUCUGUUAUUAGGGAAGAACAAAUGUGUAAGUAACUAUGCACGUCUUGACGGUACCUAAUCAGAAAGCCACGGCUAACUACGUG